rnacentral:lncRNA from 1 species
AUUUUGUUAGGGUUUUGAGAAAUGUUAUAUCAAAGUGGGUGGUGAAAGUUAUAUGAAAGUGUAUUUGGAGUGGUGGUAUUAAAUUACGUAAAAGGAAUGCUUAGAGUCUAAGGGAGUGGCACCAUCCAUUCUUGUUUGACCCGUAUUUUGAGGCUUAUAAUUCGCUCCGUUGUUCUCUCACCGCCAACCUAACUUCACAAUACUAAAAAACUCCAUUUCUGAUUUCUGCAUCACUGCACCAAAACCCACAACCCACCACUACCAUUGCAUUGCAUUGCUUUGCUUGGGCUUCUCACCACACAGAUUCUCUCUUCUUAUAACUGCCUCCUUCUUUUUCUAACAUUUAAUUUGCACCAACCCAACAUUCAUUCGUUUUUAAAUUCAAAGCUUAAUAAUACACAUCAAACUCACCCUCAACACCUACUCUUCUUCGGACAUUCUACUAUUUCUUUCUUUCUCUUCCCUCUCUAUUUGCUUCAGCUCACCAUUCGGGGUUGCUAUGGAAUAUUCUGCAUGCCUCAUUU